ACCCCCUCCAUUCCACCCAGACAGCCCGACCCGCUCCUCAGCUCACCUCACGCCGUAACCUAAGCUAGGUUUUCCUCCUCCACCUCCACCGGCAUCACAUCGGACGCGCGGCGGCGUGCAGCCAUGGCGAUGGUGGCACAGGCGGGCUUCGGCCUCACCCGCGUCGUCAUGCUCGUCGGCGCGGGCGUGGCCGGCUCCGUCGUCCUACGAAACGGCCGCCUCUCGGAGAUCCUCACCGAGAUACAGGAGUUUCUGGAGAAGGGGGAGAUGGGUAAGGGAGGUGGUGGUGGUGCGGACCACGGCAUCAACGACGCGCUCAACGAGGUGCGCCAACUGGCUAUGCAGGUACGCAAUCUAGGUUCUCCACGUUCGAUAACUGUUCUCAGUGGAGGUUCUGGACAAACAGGAGUAUCAGGAUUAAUAGUACCUGCAGCAACUGUUGGAGCACUGGGUUAUGGUUAUAUGUGGUGGAAAGGCAUCUCCUUUGGGGACUUAAUGUAUGUCACCAAGCAAAACAUGGCAAACGUUGUUUCAAGUAUGACUAAACAUCUGGAGCAAGUUCAGAGCUCUCUUGCUGCUGCUAAGAAGCAUUUGACACAACGCAUUGAGAAGUUGGAUGACAAAUUGGAUCAGCAGAAGGCGCUUUCUGGGCAAAUAAAAGAUGAUGUUACUGGCGCACGACUGAAGCUUGAGAAUAUUGGUUCAGAGAUUAAGAACAUCAAAGAAUUGGUCUGGGGACUGGAUGAGAAGAUGGAUUCAAUGGAAGCCAAACAGAAUUUUUCAUGCGCUGGUGUGAUGUACCUCUGCCAAUUCAUAGAGCAAAGUGGUGGGAAGCUCCCUGAACGCCUGGAAGGCAUUAAACCAUCAGCAAAGCGAUUUGAAACAAUUGGCAUACAGGGGUUGCAACUAGCCAUAGAAACAGGGAAUUUUAGUGAUUUCAGCAAUGCUGAUUCCACUGACAAGAUAAGCAGCAAGUCGACAACCCGUGCCCUGUUUUGUAGGUCCAACUCGUUGAAGUCUGCCAACUAAUUUUUUUCGGGGUUGGUGAGAAAUGUAUCCAGAUUCGUUACUUAGUGGAACAUUUAAAGGGAAAUCCUUGCUGGAUAAAAUGUAAAGAGUCCCAGCCUUUUUGUUAUUUGCUUGCAGGAAGUGCUGUUUGUUAAAUUUGAAAAUGUGUGCGAAGUAGUAGGUACUAUGGAAUCUAGACCAGAUGUUAUUCUGGCAUCACUUAUGCCUUGCAUUUUUAUGCAAUACUUGCCGUAAAUAAAUGUACG
rnacentral:rRNA from 1 species